GACGUAGGGCGCGAGCGUUGUCCGGAUUUAUUGGGCGUAAAGAGCUCGUAGGCGGUUUGUCGCGUCUGCCGUGAAAGUCCGGGGCUCAACUCCGGAUCUGCGGUGGGUACGGGCAGACUAGAGUGAUGUAGGGGAGACUGGAAUUCCUGGUGUAGCGGUGAAAUGCGCAGAUAUCAGGAGGAACACCGGUGGCGAAGGCGGGUCUCUGGGCCGAUAUCGACGCUGAGGAGCGAAAGCGUGGGGAGCGAACAGG
rnacentral:rRNA from 1 species